GACGAACGCUGGCGGCGUGCCUAAUACAUGCAAGUCGAACGCAGUUGCGAACGGGUGAGUAACGCGUAGGUAACUGCCUCAUAGCGGGGGAUAACUCUUGGAAACGAUAGCUAAUACCGCAUACUGUGAGAUGGACCUGCGUUGUAUUAGCUUGUUGGGGGGGUAAAGGCUCACCAAGGCGACGAUACAUCGCCGACGUGAGAGGGUGGGCGGGCACACCGGGACUGAGACAGGGCCCAGACUCCGACGGGAGGCAGCAGGAGGGAGUAUUCGGGAAUGGAGGGAAAUCGGACCGAGCAACGCCGCGUGAGGGAAGAAGGUGUUCGGAGCGUAAAGAGCUGUUGUUAGAGAAGCGGUAACUAACCAGAAAGGGCCGGCUAACUACGUGCCAGCAGCCGCGGUAAUUC
rnacentral:rRNA from 1 species